GAAUUUUAUAUCUAGCUUAUUUAUAGUAUAGUUAAUUUAGGAGAAGUGGCGGGGAUAUUUAGUUGGGAGGAUUGUUAAAUUUUAUGAACUUUAAUAGUGGAAAAUAUAGAUUAAUAGAAUUAGAGAAGGAUUGUAAAAAUUGAAUGAGAAUUAAUUACCUCAGGGAUAACAGCGUAAUAUUUCUAGGGAGGCCAUAUUUAUAGAAAUGAUUGC
rnacentral:rRNA from 1 species